ensembl:lncRNA LINC02882 long intergenic non-protein coding RNA 2882
CUGUAAGCCAAGGAGAGAGGCCUCAGAAAAAAAUCCACCCUGCUAAGAGCUUGAUCUUGGACUUACAGCCUCCAGGACUAUCUCAAAUUAACAGCCCAUUAUUAUGGAAGUUCUUUAUUGAUCGCCAAAAUGGGUUAGGUAUACCUGUUUCAUCAUUGCCUAGAAUACCCUACUUCAAACAAUGAAACUCACUUUCAAUCUAUCAUCAUCUUUCACUCUUCAGUGAAACCCCAUGUAGCUUCCAGAUGUGGUUUCAGGAUUUCUCUAUAUUGUUGGAGAGAACAAGAACCUGAGACCUGCCGAACAGCAGGUGCCAAAGAUGCUGCUGUAACACCACAGCCCUCCCAUCUUCCAUCCUCCACUGGCGCUGAGUGGCAGUCCCAUGUGACAGGAAGUGGAGGCAGAGCUGGGCCAGCCCAGGAGCCACGUGCUGGAGCCAGAUACUCUGUUUUUCUACAAAUGGAAAGUUUGUGGCAUCCUUGACUCAAGCAAAUUUUUCAGCACCAUUUUUCAAGAGCGUGUGCUCACUUCACCUCUCUGUAUCGUGUUUUGAUGCUUGUCCUGGAAACCAACCAUGAGCUGUGAUGAAAUCCAGGCAACUGAGUUGUGUUUCAGCCCAAAGCAGCAAAUGGAAUCCAGCUUCAGGACCAUCAUCUGACAUAGGGGAAGAAGACUUACAUAGAAGGCCUAACCAGCACCCAAGAUCAUGCUCAUAGGUGGAGGAGACUUGCUUUGUCUCAGAUGAGACUUUGGACUGUGGACUUUUGAGUUAAUGCUGAAAUGAGUUGAGACUUUGGGGAACUGUUGGGAAGGCAUGAUUGGUUUUAAAUAUGAAUAUAUGAGAUUUGGGAGGGGGUCAGGGGUGGAAUGAUAUGGUUUGGCUCUGUGUCCCCACCCAAAUCUCAUCUUGUAGCUCCCAUAAUCCUCCCAUGUUGUGGGAGGGACCCAGUGGGAGAUGAUUGAAUCAUGAGGGCGGGUCUUUCUCAUGCUGUUCAUGAUCCCAUUCAUGUGAGAAAGACCCAUGUGAUCAUGAAUGGGUCUCACAAGAUCUGAUGGUGUUAAAAAUGGGAGUUUCUCUGCACAAGCUCUCUGCCUGCUGCCAUUCACAAAGGAUGUGACUUGCUUCUCCUUGCCUUCUGCUAUGAUUGUGAGGCCUCCCUAGCCAUGUGGAACUGUGAGUCCAAUUAAACCUCUUUCUUUUGUAAAUUGA